rnacentral:rRNA from 1 species
UACGGAGGGGGCUAGCGUUAUUCGGAAUUACUGGGCGUAAAGCGCACGUAGGCGGCUUUGUAAGUAAGAGGUGAAAGCCCGGAGCUCAACUCCGGAACUGCCUUUUAGACUGCAUCGCUUGAAUCCAGGAGAGGUAAGUGGAAUUCCGAGUGUAGAGGUGAAAUUCGUAGAUAUUAGGAAGAACACCAGUGGCGAAGGCGGCUUACUGGUCCGGUACUGACGCUGAGGUGCGAAAGCGUGGGGAGCAAACAGG